UCAACAAUGACACUGAACUGAGCAAGGAUUCUUAACCUUGGUGGUGCUGUUGCUGCUUUCAUAGUAGAACAUCUGGGAUUAGCUCUUAAUGAACUAUUUAGGCUGGACCUUUGACCGACCACAUAUAUUGUCAGGAUCAUUUCAACCUAAAUCUCGCUGAAGGUAGAAAAGGCAGGAUCUCUAUACAAGUCAUGCCAAUUGAUAAUUAGAGGAUCUGUUCUAGUAAACCUGUGCUGGAUGACUAAUACACAAGGUCUUUACAAGAAAGCAGCACUGUUUUGAUUCACAUGGAGUCCUAUCAUGAUGUCCCCCUCAUUAUGGGCUUGUGACACUGGUACUGAUUAGCUGUGAUGAGGCUACUUAUCUUCCUGAUUAGAUGGUUAUCACAAGGAUAAAUCACUCAUUGCGUAUUUGCAAGGCAGUUAGAAACCAAUACUGCAUGGCUGUGCAUAACAAAGAAAAACACAUCAUAAACCAUUUUUUUCAGAAAUGGGUACUAUUUUAGCGGUAAUAUCCUUUAGAAAGAAAUGCUACUUCCAGCUGAAUUUGAGGCAGAUAAGAACUCUCUUAUUGUUUUAUGGAUUUAGCAGGCUGUCAUUUCCUCUUUAAAGGAUUUACAUACAAAUGAGUAGCAAUCCAGCACAGGUUACUGUCUUUCAUCACGCUUUCUGUUCUUAUGAACCUGUUCUUGAAUGAUUCGCCUACGCUAUAUAUGAUGCAAAGGAGUACAGUAUCUUGCAUUUCUUAUAUUCCUUUGAAUCAUUACUAUUGUUCUCAGUUGAGUUCUUUGAGAACAGCUGGUACAUUUGCAUUGUAUAAUGUUUUUGUUUUGAUGAAGAGUGAGCAAUGAAGAAUUCUCAAUUAAAACCCUAAUUUGAAAAAAGCCAUCUCUUUGUGUAUUUCUCUCUGCGGGUGGUUCACACACUAAAUGUCUCAGCUUUUAAACAACAUUACUGUUGGUUUAAACUAAAUCAUUGUAAAAGCUUUCACAUAUAGUGAUCACAGAUGCAUGCAGCAAGGAAAAGACAUUUUGAGCAGUAGUCACUGUGCAUUCUGUGUCCUGUUGUCACCUUCAUCUGAAGGGCAUUUGGGCGACAUGAUGACUCCUGAUGAGGUAUAUUUCACAUGCCUCCCCCACCUCAGGGACCUCCACUCCAAAUGCAAAUGGCAUUGUUGAAGAUAGUAGCUGGCAGGUGAAGGAAGCUGAAGCAAUACCUCCUCGUCUCCCCUAAGAUAUGUUAUUCUCAGCAUGAAGCCUGCAGCUAUGUCUGUCCUCGCAACUUGGCAGAUUUGCCAUUUUAAGCAGAAUGUUUCUUAAAGAAAGCGCCUUUAAACCUGUGGCAUACUUAGGAUUUUUUGUUACACUGUAUUUUGGUCAAUGCUUUUUUAUUUAUUUUUUUUUUGUGACCUUUGCUUUUGAAGAUGCAUGCAGUAAGUUGGCAUCUUACAUGUGAGGUGAUCUCGGACAAAUUACUUUGUUUGUAAGGCACUUCCCCAGGCUACAGUUUGAGAUGUCUGUAUGAAAUGCUUGUUAAAAUCUAUUUCAGAAGGAAGAUUGUCAGUGUGUACUUUGCAUAUUAACUUUCACAAAUGUAACACCAAAGGUGCUUUGCCUCAGCCCUAGAUAAAGUAGUGCAAGAAAU